GACGAACGCUGGCGGCGUGCUUAACACAUGCCAGUCGAACGGAAAGGCCCUGCUUUUGUGGGGUGCUCGAGUGGCGAACGGGUGAGUAACACGUGAGUAACCUGCCCUUGACUUUGGGAUAACUUCAGGAAACUGGGGCUAAUACCGGAUAGGAGCUCCUGCUGCAUGGUGGGGGUUGGAAAGUUUCGGCGGUUGGGGAUGGACUCGCGGCUUAUCAGCUUGUUGGUGGGGUAGAGGCUUACCAAGGCGUUGGCGGGUAGCCGGCCUGAGAGGGUGACCGGUCACACGGGAACGGAGACAGGGGCGAGACGACGACGGGAGGCAGAAGUGGGGAAUAUUGGACAAUGGGCGGAAGCCUGAUCCAGCCAUGCCGCGUGUGUGAAGAAGGUCUUCGGAGUGUAAAGCACUUUAAGGUGGGAGGAAGGGCAGUAAGUGAAUACCUUGCUGUUUUGACGUUACCAACAGAAUAAGCACCGGCUAACUUCGUG
rnacentral:rRNA from 1 species